rnacentral:rRNA from 1 species
AGAAUCAACGCUGGCGGCGUGCCUAACACAUGCAAGUCGAACGGGAAAGUGGAGCAAUCCAUGAGUAAAGUGGCGCACGGGUGAGUAACACGUGACUAACCUACCCUCGAGUGGGGAAUAACCUCGGGAAACCGGGGCUAACACCGCAUAACAUCUACGGAUCAAAUGCGUAAGCAGCUUGAGGAGGGGGUCGCGGCUGAUUAGCUAGUUGGCGGGGUAAUGGCCCACCAAGGCAGUGAUCAGUAGCCGGCCUGAGAGGGCGCACGGCCACACUGGAACUGAAACACGGUCCAGACUCCUACGGGAGGCAGCAGUGGGGAAUUUUGCGCAAUGGGGGAAACCCUGACGCAGCAACGCCGCGUGGAGGAUGAAGCCCCUUGGGGUGUAAACUCCUUUCGAUCGGGACGAUUAUGACGGUACCGGAUGAAGAAGCACCGGCUAACUCUGUGCCAGCAGCCGC